rnacentral:lncRNA from 1 species
GUAGAGUACCGUCAACCCCUCAAGGUCAGCUAUCACAGUUAAUCAAAGUGUCAGGCAUCAAACAACACAAGAUAUAUAAAUUAUCUAUUCAUACCAAAUAAAUAAAUUUAUAUAUGCGCUGAUGCCAUGAACUCACUCCCUUCUAGUCCCACUAAUUCAUAUCUUUAGGUAACAAGCAUGCAUGUCUCAUACCAUGCGUUUUACUACUAUGGCUCCGAAUACCCUAAAAUAUGAACUAGCUCCCAUCCAUCCCUUCACACAUUUCUCUUUUGUUCACUAAUUUCUCAACUUUCACUUUUCAUUAGAGGCCAUAUUCUCAUCACCUCAAUAUAUUCAAGCUCUGCUCUCGUCACCUGAAUAUAUUCUAGAUAUAUCUAAGGUCUUCUCCCACCCCUUAGAUAUACCUCAAACAACACACACACCCCAAACACCACUAUAUUUAUUAUGCAUAUGUAAUGCAGUGCAAACAUCAUUUAUCUCUGCUAAAUAAUAAUACAGAUAAUAACAAUAAUAUAUUAUAUUCACCCGACAUCAAAUAAUAUCCACGAAGAAACAUCAAUAAUAAUAUUCACAUAACAUCAAAUAAUAUUCACUAAGCAAAGCAACAAUAAAAUUCAUAUUUAUAAUACUAUAUAUAAGUACCAAGAUUAAAAAUGACUAGCCUAAUCAUCG